GACGAACGCUGGCGGCGUGCCUAAUACAUGCCAGUCGAACGCUUCUUUCCUCCCGAGUGCUUGCACUCAGUUGGAAAGAGGAGUGGCGGACGGGUGAGUAACACGUGGGUAACCUACCCAUCAGAGGGGGAUAACACUUGGAAACAGGUGCUAAUACCGCAUAACAGUUUAUGCCGCAUGGCAUAAGAGUGAAAGGCGCUUUCGGGUGUCGCUGAUGGAUGGACCCGCGGUGCAUUAGCUAGUUGGUGAGGUAACGGCUCACCAAGGCCACGAUGCAUAGCCGACCUGAGAGGGUGAUCGGCCACACUGGGACUGAGACACGGCCCAGACUCCUACGGGAGGCAGCAGUAGGGAAUCUUCGGCAAUGGACGAAAGUCUGACCGAGCAACGCCGCGUGAGUGAAGAAGGUUUUCGGAUCGUAAAACUCUGUUGUUAGAGAAGAACAAGGACGUUAGUAACUGAACGUCCCCUGACGGUAUCUAACCAGAAAGCCACGGCUAACUACGUG
rnacentral:rRNA from 1 species